CCUUGUUUGUCCCCUGUGUUUAUCCCCUUGUGGGUAGUAAAGAAAUAGGUAAGCAGCUAGUCCCCUCACCCCAAAUUUCAGGCCUUGUGCCUUUAGUAGAAAUUAUUAUUAUUAACAUUGUCAUCUUGCCAUACUCUGAGAUAUAGUAUUUGCUUGUAUUACAUUCCUUCUCCUUCCAUCUCAUGUCUUCCUUUCAUUACGAUUAGUAAGGACUCAAGACAGCAUACAGGCUGAAACGCUGACUUUUUAUAUUUUUUGCAGGCAUUGCAAGUGCUGUAUAUAUAUAUAUAUAUAUAUACCUGAGCCAUAUGUGCAUGUGUCUGACUCGGUUAUUGUUCUUUGACACCAAAGACAACUUUGCCCUUUGUUUCUAAUAAGACUGACAAAAUAAAUACUCCCUUCAAAAGCGUAUGUAUGUAUGUAUGCAUAUGUGUGUAUAUAUGCGUUUGUGUGUACAUAAUAUUAUUGUGUAUACAUAAUUUAUGUAUGUCAAAGACGUACAAGCCAUUGGCUGUUUAAUUGAAUUACCAGGUGAUACCAAAAUCACUCCUGUGAUGAAUCCAUGGAUGAUGUAAACUCCCAGUAGGUAAUAACAGUCAAUGAAUGCAUGUGUGUGUGUGUGUAUGUACACAUGGCUCUGGUAUACUCCUUAAUCCAGAAGUAACAUUGGUUUGGUUUUUCUCAAAGGCCAUUGCCUAUUUUCUUUUAUAUCUAUCUACUUACUUAACUUCCUAUCUGCUUCUAUGCCCAUCUGUUUGUCUAAAUAUUUGUCUGUCUAUCUAUCUGUCGGUCUAACUAUCUAUCUUUCUAUCUAUCUAUCUAUGUGCUUGUAUAUAUUUAUAUAUACACUCAAACACAUAGAUUUUGGUUGUAAAAAAAAAGUACUCAAUACAUGACAUGAAGUUUAUAGUCAUCAGAAGACAGUUACUGAUUCACUCUGUUGCUACUCAGUUUUGCAUCAUAUCUUGACAAUGAGAUAGCAUCAUAGGACAAAUUGAGAAAUAUUAAGAAACACGUCUCCUUAACACCCAGACAUAUUCUAUCCACUUUCCUAUCUUCCCCCACUCCUUACCAUUUUCCACAGAUUCUAGUUGUUCUCCUUAGUAGAUAUUUAAUUGUUCUCACUGGCUAUGGUACCUUUGAUUUUAUAAACAAAAUUACUUGCAUCCAAAAACCUCUGCGGGUUGUGGAUUUGUUAUCAAGCUUAUAGACUCCAACUGUUUACCAUUAACUAAUCAGAGCCUCGUUAGCUUCUUACCCCAUGGUAGACAUUGUUCAGAAGCAGUGGAUCGUUUAGCUACUGUAUAAAAAGCUAACAGGGGCAGAUACACUGUAGAGUGCCCUAAUCCUUAUUUCUUCUGACCUACCCUUUUCAACCGUGUCGAUAUUAACCCUUUAGCAUUCAGAUUACUCUGUCAAAGGUAUUGCUUAUUUAUUCACAUUGUUUUCAGUUAAUCAUGUAUUAUCUUGUCGAUGCAUAGCUCAGUAUUUAGUGAGAAGGGCUCACAAUCAUGAGGUAGUGAGUUUGGUUCCUGGACUGGGCUGGUUCUGUGUUGUAUUUUUGAGCAAGGCACAUUAUUCCACAUUCACUCAGUUGUAGAAAUAAGUUACGACAUCACUGACAUAGAGAGGGGAGGUUGGUAUAAACGGGCAACUGCUGUCUUCCAUAAACAACCUUGCCCAGACUUGUGUCUCAGAAGGUAACUUUUUAGGAUCAAUCCCAUGAGCAUUCAUGACUGAAGGGAGUCUUUAUCUGGUAGCUUCAAGAUUUUGAUGAUAUGAUUGUAUAUUUUUAGAAUGACAUUGCAGGACAGGUGUGAGAGAUGGGACCUGGCUGAUUGGAGCAUAAAACAGAAUAUUUGGGCUAGAUAUGGCCAGUUUAAAUGCUAAAGAGUUAAAUACUUUAAACUCUCAUGUGUUGUUGAUAGUAGGUUCUGUGACAGCCAGUGUUCAAUGUAGUAGAAUAGCCUUACUAUGUCUUUCUCUUGCAGCAUAGAAACAAUAAGUGGUGUUACUUGGGUGUGCAGUCUACUGCAGUAUCUGUAGUCUACACUGUGAAAUUUCUGAUCUGGGUUAGGAUUAAGAGUUAAAGAUUAGGGUUAGGUUUAGACUGUGUGUUUGAUGGCCAGGUAGACUACAUGUUAAAUGGGAAGGUAAGCUGCAGGUUAAAUUGACAACAAAUAAGACACAUUACUGACUGCUAAAGAAAACAUCCAUCAAAUUUACUAUGCUGCCACUGUUUACAAUAGUAAGCAAUAUUUACAGCCAGGAAAUUAUAGCCAUUAAACAUCAACUGUGUUAUAUUACAAACACAAUACAUUAUACAUAACUGGUUAUAAACUGUCAACCUGAUUGACUUAGUUGUCUUUGAAAAAAUUGGUAGGACAGUGGACUAAAUACUUUCUAGAGUUUAGUUUUGGCCUGUUAUGUUCUGAGUUCAAAUCCUGCCAUGGUCAGCUUUGCCUGGAAUUGAUAAAAGGGGUUGCAACAGUCGUUACAUGAUCAGCAAAUAAUCACAAAACUCAGAAUAGAAACAGAGAGUAAUUGCAGUUCUAUCAUAAAUACUUAUACUCUUACUUUGGUAUUGAGUACAUUACUCUUGUCUUUUUAAAUUUAAGUAUGUGUGUAUAUAAGUGUAUAUAUAUAUGUGCAUGUAUGCAUGUAUGUAUGCCUUUGACUGUCUGUGUGUACAUAUAUAAGGUGUUGAAAUUGUGAUGAAAUUUAGUCAAUAACUGAUGAGGGGUGAUAGUGUCCAUUGCAUGUUUCUCUCUGUUUUCCAUAUGUUCCUUUGUCAUCCUCCUGUACCAUAUUUUAUUAUUAUUAUUAUUACAAUAUAUGUAUACAUAUAUAUAUAUAUAUAUAUAUAUAUAUAUAUGUGUGUGUGUGUGUGUGUAAGUAAACUUAUAACUCCUAUUAUAUAGCCAUGAAGGAAAUUGUAUAUUUCAUUGUCAUUUUUAUAUGCAGACACACACUCACACAAUCACACACACACAUACACACCCUAUGUUUAUAUAAACCUAUUAUAUUAAGGCCACAAAUGGCACAAUCCUAUUUGGGUCUGUUUAUUAAAAAAAAAAACGACACAGAUCUUCAUGUUGUUGUUGUUGCUGUAUGGCUGUAUUCCGUUGCACAAAGUCGACAGAAUGAGACAAAAUGACCGAGA
rnacentral:lncRNA from 1 species